rnacentral:rRNA from 1 species
UGGCGUAAGAGCUCGUAGGCGGUUUGUCGCGUCUGCUGUGAAAGACCGGGGCUCAACUCCGGUUCUGCAGUGGGUACGGGCAGACUAGAGUGCAGUAGGGGAGACUGGAAUUCCUGGUGUAGCGGUGAAAUGCGCAGAUAUCAGGAGGAACACCGAUGGCGAAGGCAGGUCUCUGGGCUGUAACUGACGCUGAGGAGCGAAAGCAUGGGGAGCGAACAGGAUUAGAUACCCUGGUAGUCCAUGCCGUAAACGUUGGGCACUAGGUGUGGGGGACAUUCCACGUUUUCCGCGCCGUAGCUAACGCAUUAAGUGCCCCGCCUGGGGAGUACGGCCGCAAGGCUAAAACUCAAAGGAAUUGACGGGGGCCCGCACAAGCGGCGGAGCAUGCGGAUUAAUUCGAUGCAACGCGAAGAACCUUACCAAGGCUUGACAUGAACCGGUAAUACCUGGAAACAGGUGCCCCGCUUGCGGUCGGUUUACAGGUGGUGCAUGGUUGUCGUCAGCUCGUGUCGUGAGAUGUUGGGUUAAGUCCCGCAACGAGCGCAACCCUCGUUCUAUGUUGCCAGCGCGUUAUGGCGGGGACUCAUAGGAGACUGCCGGGGUCAACUCGGAGGAAGGUGGGGACGACGUCAAAUCAUCAUGCCCCUUAUGUCUUGGGCUUCACGCAUGCUACAAUGGCCGGUACAAAGGGUUGCGAUACUGUGAGGUGGAGCUAAUCCCAAAAAGCCGGUCUCAGUUCGGAUUGGGGUCUGCAACUCGACCCCAUGAAGUCGGAGUCGCUAGUAAUCGCAGAUCAGCAACGCUGCGGUGAAUACGUUCCCGGGCCUUGUACACACCGCCCGUCAAGUCACGAAGUUGGUACACCCGAAGCCGGUGCCUAACCCUUGUGGGGGAGCCGUCGAAGUGGGACCGGCGAUUGGACUAAGUCGUACAAGGUAGCCC